rnacentral:rRNA from 1 species
GACGAACGCUGGCGGCGUGCCUAAUACAUACAAGUAGAACGCUGACUACUUUAGCUUGCUAGAGUAGAAGGAGUUGCGAACGGGUGAGUAACGCGUAGGUAACCUGCCUACUAGCGGGGGAUAACUAUUGGAAACGAUAGCUAAUACCGCAUAACAGUGUUUAACACAUGUUAGAGGCUUGAAAGAUGCAAUUGCAUCACUAGUAGAUGGACCUGCGUUGUAUUAGCUAGUUGGUGGGGUAACGGCCAACCAAGGCGACGAUACAUAGCCGACCUGAGAGGGUGAUCGGCAACACUGGGACUGAGACACGGCCCAGACUCCUACGGGAGGCAGCAGUAGGGAAUCUUCGGCAAUGGGGGCAACCCUGACCGAGCAACGCCGCGUGAGUGAAGAAGGUUCUCGGAUCGUAAAGCUCUGUUGUAAGAGAAGAACGUGUGUGAGAGUGGAAAGUUCACACAGUGACGGUAACUUACCAGAAAGGGACGGCUAACUACGUGCCAGCAGCCGCGGUAA